rnacentral:rRNA from 1 species
CGCGUAGGCGGUCUGUCCAGUUAGGCGUGAAAGGCCUGGGCUUAACCCAGGAAUGGCGCUUAAUACUGACGGGCUUGAGAUUGGAAGAGGAGAGUGGAAUUCCCAGUGUAGAGGUGAAAUUCGUAGAUAUUGGGAAGAACACCGGUGGCGAAGGCGGCUCUCUGGUCCACAUCUGACGCUGAGGCGCGAAAGCGUGGGGAGCAAACAGGAUUAGAUACCCUGGUAGUCCACGCCGUAAACGAUGAGUGCUAGACGUUGGGGGCUUGGCUCCUCGGUGUCGCAGCUAACGCGUUAAGCACUCCGCCUGGGGAGUACGGUCGCAAGAUUAAA